rnacentral:rRNA from 1 species
GACGAACGCUGGCGGCGUGCUUAACACAUGCAAGUCGAACGAAGUGGCGAACGGGUGAGUAACGCGUAAUCAACCUGCCCUUCAGAGGGGGACAACAGUUGGAAACGACUGCUAAUACCGCAUACUGAAGGAGGGGAUUACGUCUGAUUGGCUGGUUGGGGGGGUAACGGCCCACCAAGGCGAUGAUCAGUAGGCGGUCUGAGAGGAGUGACGGCCACAAUGGGACUGAGACACGGCCCAGGAUCCUACGGGAGGCAGCAGGGGGGAAUCUUGCGCAAUGGACGAAAGUCCGACGGAGCAACGCCGCGUGAGUGAUGACGGCCUUCGGGUUGUAAAGCUCUGUUAGUCGGGACGCGGUACCGGAAUAGAAAGCCACGGCUAACUACGUGCCAGCAGCCGCGGUAAUAC